GACGAACGCUGGCGGCGUGCCUAAUACAUGCAAGUUGAGCGCUGAAGGUUGGUACUUGUACCAACUGGAUGAGCAGCGAACGGGUGAGUAACGCGUGGGGAAUCUGCCUUUGAGCGGGGGACAACAUUUGGAAACGAAUGCUAAUACCGCAUAAAAACUUUAAACACAAGUUUUAAGUUUGAAAGAUGCAAUUGCAUCACUCAAAGAUGAUCCCGCGUUGUAUUAGCUAGUUGGUGAGGUAAAGGCUCACCAAGGCGAUGAUACAUAGCCGACCUGAGAGGGUGAUCGGCCACAUUGGGACUGAGACACGGCCCAAACUCCUACGGGAGGCAGCAGUAGGGAAUCUUCGGCAAUGGACGAAAGUCUGACCGAGCAACGCCGCGUGAGUGAAGAAGGUUUUCGGAUCGUAAAACUCUGUUGGUAGAGAAGAACGUUGGUGGGAGUGGAAAGCUCAUCAAGUGACGGUAACUACCCAGAAAGGGACAGCUAACUACGUG
rnacentral:rRNA from 1 species